GGUUGUAGCUCAGUGGUAGAGCGCUUGCCUUGCAUGCAUGAGGCACUAGGUUCGAUCCUCAGCACCA
rnacentral:tRNA from 1 species